UGCCUGGGAUAGCUCAGCUGGUAGAGUGAUGAGACUUUUAAUGUCAGGGUCAUGGGUUCGACCCACAUUUAAACAA